GAUGAACGCUGGCGGCGUGCCUAAUACAUGCAAGUCGAGCGAACGGACGAGAAGCUUGCUUUUCUGAUGUUAGCGGCGGACGGGUGAGUAACACGUGGAUAACCUACCUAUAAGACUGGGAUAACUUCGGGAAACCGGAUCUAAUACCGGAUAAUAUUUUGAACCGCAUGGUUCAAAAGUGAAAGACGGUCUUGCUGUCACUUAUAGAUGGAUCCGCGCUGCAUUAGCUAGUUGGUAAGGUAACGGCUUACCAAGGCAACGAUGCAUAGCCGACCUGAGAGGGUGAUCAGCCACACUGGAACUGAGACACGGUCCAGACUCCUACGGGAGGCAGCAGUAGGGAAUCUUCGGCAAUGGGCGAAAGCCUGACGGAGCAACGCCGCGUGAGUGAUGAAGGUCUUCGGAUCGUAAAGCUCUGUUAUUAGGGAAGAACAUAUGUGUAAGUAACUGUGCACAUCUUGACGGUACCUAAUCAGAAAGCAACGGCUAACUACGUG
rnacentral:rRNA from 1 species